GUGCACCGCAUUUCACUCGUCAUCAAAUGUUUGUUUCUUUUUCUUGAUUGGCGAUUCUGCACGGCCGUUCGCAUGCUUAGCUUCAUGCUACCUGCUACGAAGCAAACUUAUUAAUUUUUAAAAUUAGGUCCAAAUAUUUGCGGAAACCAAGGACAGGCUCUUGAAGGCUGGAACGAGAAAAUACUAUCCUUGAGAGGUAAGAUGCAUUAUUGAUAAAGAGCAAUACGACAACAGUGCCUGUGUUUUUCAAUGGCAUGUUUCAAGUUGCCAAGUUUCCUUUGUAAUUAAGGUCAUCAACAACAUGAUGAUAGCUAAGUAUUGAUGGAGUCGAAAGAGUGAUAGAAAAAGGACUCACUGAGUGUUAUGGGCUAAAAUGUGCAAGAGAAAACUUAUGGAGUGCUCUAUGUUAGGAACUUGAACUGUUAAACUUGGCACUAUUACUCAAGCAGGGGUGGCGACUAUUAAAUUAAGCCUCUCCACGACAUUAAAAUGCUACAUGGAACUGGAAAAGUUUACUCCAUGGUCGUAUUAUUCUUGGGAAGGGAGUGAAGUGGCAGGUGAGGAGUAUAGUGAGAUGUUUGGCUUUCAAGCUUUGAGUUGGCAAAAGAUAUGUGUUUAUAGUACAUGAGUUUAUAGAUCUUCCCUGGGUUAAGUGGAAAAAGGAGCUUGGAAGAGAAUGUUUCCAACAAAAUGAGGCUGAUGCUAUAUUGCAAACGCCACUUAGCAAGUUCAGACUAAAUAAGAGACCGAUUUGGCAAAAUCAGGCCAAUUCGGUGCCAAAUGGACGUAUCAUUUAGCUUAGAACCUUUUAUUUCCCAAUGCAUAUGCUCUGGUCAGUUUGAAAAAGCAAGGAAUGCGGCAAUGUUUAGAAGUGAAUUGUGGUGACCUUCUGAGAUUGAGGCUCAAGCUUUAGUUGAUACAAUAACUGUGGCCGGUUAAUUGUUUUAAGGGAAUCUUUUAUCCUAGCUUGCAAGAGGAAAUGUCUUCGGUUACUAUUGAGGAGGAUGUUAGGAGCAUCAUUCAGACUAUUAGAGGCAUCAGUUCCUGGUAGAUACACAAAUCACCAUUAGAGGUUGCAAGCUUCUCUUGCAGCAAUUCACUAAUCUGUAUACUAAUAGUCUGAUACAAUAACUGUGGCCGGUUAAUUGUUGUUAUUCUUCUUUUUAAGCAAUGAAAUCCAUUUAUAAUGA